rnacentral:miRNA from 1 species
AGCCCGCCGCUUGGACUGGGAU